CCUGCAGUGCAAAGCCAGUUCCGCCUUAAUUGGUGAUCUGCUGGUCCACUAGUUUUUCUGUGAUCCCAGGAACACCUUCUCGUUUCAACUGUUCCCUCUUAGCUUGACACAGCAAGGCAACAUCUCUACUGUCCCACUCAAAAAUGCAGCUCGACAGUCUGGACAUAAAGAUGGGGUACAGAGGAUUUGCAUCCUUUGUACAUCCAGAUGCCAGUCACCGCAUGAAGUGGAAUAUGUCGAGCUUUACAACCAGGUCUGGCCACCCACCAAAUCUUUAUUUUAGCUUUGUCAAUCCUGUGCCCUCCCGACAACAUUCACAGUCAACAUAGAGAAGCUGAGGAGGAGCCACACCAGCAUUGCUGUACCUGCGUAUGAGAUUAGCAGCCAUGGUGUCAAGAGCAGGACCCUCCUGAGCUGUCAGGACGCUGAUGAGGAUUUGGCUCACCUCAUUGCUCACAGAUGUAAGCCACAAGGCCAGGCCUGAUAGCUUCUUAGUGAUUGUGAUCACACAGAAAAGACAGUGAAUGCCUAAAGCACAAAUAAACAGUUUCUUUUAUAUUCAAAUACUGAACUAAUACCUUUUUUUAAUACAAAGCAUUAAUUUCAUUUUUCACAUGUCUUUACUGCUAAUGUUGUAUUUUACUUUUGUUUGUGAGGUAGGAUUUUACAGUGGUAUAAGUUAAAAAUAUUUAACUUUUUGUGGAAUCCAUUUGUAAUAUAUUGCCAAAGAUGGAUGUUAUGCUCGCUUUGAUGUGAUCCAGCCUGCUUAAAAUGUCUCGGCCAUAAACAGCCAGCAUCCACCGGUGGGAAGGAAUAGCCACUGGCUUAGGAGGGUCGUGGAACUUGACAGGGAGCAGGCCUGGCUGGACAACAAAGUCCGAGCAUGCGCCAAGUAUACUCACCUUCGUGUCAGUAUCAGUCGGAAUUCCAUUCUGUGUGCCAAAUCCAGCUGGUCCAAGAUGGUCUUGCUGGUGGAAAGUAACUCGUUUUACAACCAGCUGAACUGCACCAGAGAGUCUCUGUGAUCAUCAGGACAGGACAGCCUGACCUUCCAAAGGUGGUACGGCAUCCACAGGAGAAGCCGGUGUGUGAAAAAACGCUCUGAAGUGGGGGCCUGAUGAUAAAUGAGCGCUGGCUCUGGUGGAUCAUACCACAGCUUCAGGCAGCCAGCCAGACUCUGAACCAGGAGCAGUCUCCAUGUCAGCAGUAGGGUGAGCGAGGUGAUCAACCACAGAUGGAGCAGCAGAGGUGACAAAAAAAGAGGUUACAGUGGCAGAUGCAGAGGUCACAGGGGCAAGAGGAGCAGAGGAGGUACCAGAGGAGGAGGCGGCAGCAGCUGACACUUCCUUUAUAAAUAAAAAAGGCAAAUAUAUAUAUAUGAUUGCAAGUCACUCAUGAAAGAUGCUUAUUUGAAGUUAAGUAUCAUUGUGAAGAAAACCACUUAAUUUAAGAGUUUCUCACAGCCCUAGCAGCAGCUGAUGGUAUCGAGGAGGUGGUUGUGGACACAGGAGAGUGAGGAAGAGAUAGAGUUGAGACAGUCUGAAUGUACAUCCUGGGACUGCGGGUAGGCGAUGGUGUCCUCCUUCUCACGGCACUUGUGACAGUGCUGGACAUGGCAGAAGAGUCGGAAGUGCAACUGAUGGGCUGAGAGAAUAUGACCACAGUUUACAACAUUAUAUAUGAUAUUAAUCUGUGCUUAUUAGAAAUUACAGUAAUGACAGUAAUUUCAACAUAUCUUUAUGGAAUGAAAAUAACAGUAGCCUAACAAGA